UUGGACCUGAUAUCAAGCAAGACUACCCGCUGAACUUAA
rnacentral:rRNA from 1 species